rnacentral:rRNA from 1 species
GACGAACGCUGGCGGCGCGCUUAACACAUGCAAGUCGAACGGAAAGGCCUGCUUUCCCUUGUGGAUUGCGGGUACUCGAGUGGCGAACGGGUGAGUAACACGUGAGUGAUCUGCCCCCAACUUGGGUAUAAGCCUGGGAAACUGGGUCUAAUUCCCGAUAGGACUGCAGGGUGGUGCCUGUGGUGGAAAACGAUUUUCUAGUGGUUGGGGAUGAGCUCGCGGCCUAUCAGCUUGUUGGUGGGGUAAUGGCCUACCAAGGCGGCGACGGGUAGCCGGCCUGAGAGGGUGGACGGUCACAUUGGGACUGAGAUACGGCCCAGACGCCUACGGGAGGCAGCAGUGGGGAAUAUUGCACAAUGGGCGGAAGCCUGAUGCAGCGACGCCGCGUGGGGGAUGACGGCCUUCGGGUUGUAAACUCCUUUCGACCGCGAGGAAGCCACCUGGUUGGAAGGGUGGUGACGGUAGUGGUAGAAGAAGCACCGGCUAACUACGUG